GCCUGGGUGGCUCAGUCAGUUAAGCAUCUGACUUCAGCUCAGAUCAUGAUCUCCCAGUUCGUGAGUUCGAGCCCCGCAUCAGGCU
rnacentral:tRNA from 1 species